AUGGAGACUGACGAGCAGGAUGGAGACGACGAAUCCAGUCAGGACCAGGAGCUGCCCUCUGAGAACGACAACAGCCAAUCAGAGGACUCUGUGCGUGGCGGGGACAAUGAGCUGGAGAACGGGGUUGGUCCAGGGGGAGAUAAUUCGGGGACCAAAGGUCACCAGAACCAGAUGUCUACGACGAUGGAGGACAAGAAGAGAUUGUUUACAUUCCAAUAUGGGGAAGACGGACUUCAGCUUAAUCAAGGAGGAACCGCGGCAGAUCUGGUUCAACGAGGGACACCUCAGACUCAGUGACCGGUCCUAUCUCUCUUUGGACUGGGAACCAGAGGUUAAGAAGAAACACUUUCAUGAGGGUAUCACAGAGGACUUUGAGAUGCAUGGAGUAUAAGCCUCAGAAGAAAGCCUUCUUCAAGCUGAAAGACUGCAUCGAGUUGUUCACCACCAAAGAGAAGCUCGGCGCUGAGGACCCAUGGUACUGUCCAAAAUGCAAGGAGCACCAGCAGGCCACUAAGAAGAUGGACCUGUGGUCUCUGCCACCUGUCCUGGUGGUCCAUCUGAAACGCUUCUCCUACAGCAGAUACAUGAGGGACAAGCUGGAUUCACUAGUUGAUUUCCCACUCAGUGACAUGGAAAUGUCAGAGUUCCUGAUCGACCCUAAUGCUGGUCCCUGUCGCUACGAUCUCAUUGCGGUCUCCAACCACUAUGGAGGCAUGGGACGAGGACACUAUACUGCUUAUGCGAAGAACAAGGAUGAUGACAAGUGGUACAACUUUGACAACAGCAGUGUCUCUCCAGCCAACAAAGAUCAGAUAGUGUCCAAAGCAGUGCUGUUCUACCAACGCCAGGACACAGUGAAUGGAACAGGCUACUUCGAUCUGGACCGAGAGGAGGAGAACAGAGAUGGGGAGGAGGAGAGGAAGAGCGUCGCUUUAUCCCAGGGGGCCUCUGCUUCAGUCCAGAGCAACGAAGAUGUAAACGACAAUGUCACCAUGAAAACCAACUGAGCUGGAGAAACAGAGACAGAGCGAGAGACAACAAUAUCCAUCCUAAGCCAUAUCGACAGACACCGAGCAGUGGGCCAGGCCUGAGGCUGUGCACUGACCUCUGACCCCAUCCAGCCCUAUGAAGAGUAGGCUACAGGGGAAAAUAAAAACUGAGAGGUUUGUCAGUGCUGGAACACCCAAGCAACAUUACUAAAGAAAUCAGGGCCUAUAGAUGUCUGUGGCCUGACUGACCGGUCUUAUUCGUGUCGCAGUGAGUCUUCUCCAUGUCCAUUCUACAUGAAUCAUCCACUCUGGAGGAAAAAUAAGUCAAGCUCUGUUCUGAUUCUGAACAAUGACAUAAUCCUGAAAUCUAAUGGAUCCAUUAGAAGUGUUAGGAAGGCCUGCAUUACGAAGUUCAGUUCGUCAUAGAAUCAAGCACAGAAUUUCACAGUGCAGUGGUGUCGCUGCUUUGGCACUUCGAACCGAUACUCCCACCCACCUGCUUUAAUUUUGUUACGUUUUUAUAUUUUUGAGAGCGCAAUGCAUUACCAUACCAUUUUACCAUUCUUUUUAAGCUAGGCUUUGUAAAUAUAUAUUUUUUAAUGAACACUGAAUUAUUAUUUUUAUUAAGUUUUAAUGAUGCGCUGAAGCCUUUUUGGGAAUUCGUCCUAAUACUUUUAUUUUGUUGCACAAUCACCUCUACCCUCAUUUAAAAAAAAAUAUGAGUCUUAUAUUAGUGUCAUGUACUGCAAUUGAUUUACAAAUUACUCUGAGCCAGGGUCUUCUCAGUUAAAAUGCUUUGAAUGCCUUUUUAAACACUGGUCAACAGAACACACAUCCACACAUAGUGACUGCUCUGUGUAGAGUAGGAGUGCUGAUCUAUGAUCAUUUUUGCCUUUAGGAUCAUACUGAAUACGGUUAUAUGGACAGGGAGGGACCUGAUCCUAGAUCAGUCCUCCUACUCUGCUUUGUAUAUGUGAGGAGGAAGAGCAAAAUACAUUUCAUAAUGUAAAACAGCCAAACCAGUCAUGUGGUGAACUUGCAUUUUAGACACAACUAAUGUACACAAUAUGAGCCUUAUGAUUUAAGUGUUUUAUUCUGCUGGUCCUUACAUUAAGUAUCCUCCUAGCAGCAUGAAGUCAAGUUCCAGAAACAACCCCUAGACACUUUUGUAGAUCUGAAAUGAUCCGAUAGGUAUGCGAAAUGGGGCGAAAAAUUCACCUAUCACAUGACAAGGUGGAGCUACUACCAUAUUGCUCACACCCAAUUCUUUCAGAUCUGCAUAAGUGAUUAGGAGACGUGCAUAUUAGGUAGGGGCUUUUCUGGGACGGACCCACCACUCUUAGGCUGUAUGUUGCAUUACGAGCUUUACAUGGCGUCUCCUACGCUACCUGCUCCCUCUAGAGGCUUUUUGAGAUUAUGAAUAUUGGUGAUACAUUAGAUUUCUGUUUCUUGGUUGGAUCACCUCAGCCUUAACUAGUCUUUAGCACAUUAUUACGUCACGCUGUUUGUGCAUGGCCCCGAAACACACACACACACACACACACACACACACACACACACACACACACACACACACACACACACACACACACACACACACACACACACACACACACACACACACACACACACACACACACACACACACACACACACACUUAAACAGGACACAGAUACGAGCUGAAACUCAUUCAUACACUCACAGGAACACUUACGUUCACACCCUCAACUCUACCUUUGCUGUUCCCAACAGAAACAUACACGAAUAGCAACCGCUGCUCCCGGAAUUCAAACUUCUUUUUUUUAAUCAAAUGCGAGAGCCCGAAUGUAUGCUGAAUGACUGACUUGAACUGAUCCACUUGUAAGGCCAGGUUGUUUUUUUGCCUCAUCUUUUCUUGCUUUGGUUAAAUGUGAGGGGGGAAAUAGUAGAGGGUUCAUUACCUUUGAUAGAAAUACCUGGGUACUGCUGUAUGUGUCCACUCUUCCAAGGGAAAAUAAUGCUUUAUUGUGGUUUGAGCAUGGAGUAGGGUCUUUCACUGUCGAGGGCGGGAGGGAUGGGUGAAGGGUAGUAUUAC